rnacentral:lncRNA from 1 species
UUAUUAUUAUUGUUACUUACUUAUUUACUUACUUACUACAACUACUACUACACUACUGCCACCAUAUAUAAAAUGUAUAUGAACUAAUCAAAUAUUCGGCUUAUUGUAAUAAGAUUUGAUAAACAUAGUAAUGACCACACAUCCCAGCUAAAAGUCACACCAAUAUUUUAGUAUUCAUACAAUUAAUCCAUAGAAAUUUCCAACAUUAGUAUAAUUUCCAUCUAGCAAAACACCAAAAAAAAAAAAUUAAAACACAUCAGUGGCAGUUGCAAUUCCAUAAAUAUCAAAUUCAAAAAAUCAUCUCCAACAAAAGCUUCUUCAGCUUGCAAUUCCAGCAAAAACUUCUUCAAGGCAUAAACUCCUCCAAAAAUGUUAACUAAAUCAAUUUUUAUUUGCUGCAUUUGAAAAAUAAUUAUAUAUACAUACCAAAGAGAAUAUUUGUAUGCCUACAUACCUUCUUUAAAACAAUUUAAUGCAACUUUUUGGCCAAGCAACAGUGCUUCCCAAAGACUCAACUAUUAUAUGAGUUUCAUCUGUCACUUUAUAUAAAGUCACUUCAUCCAUACUAUCAGAUAUUGAUUCCACCCAAACUUUCCAACAAUCUCUUCCAAGAGGCACGUGGUGAACUUUUGCGUUAGGGUAUGUUGAGGCAAUCUUUCCUUCAGCCACAAUUUCAUCAACAUCAUUUGAAUACCAAUUCAAUAAAUAACAUCUUGCAUUUUCAUAGUGGCCAUUUUCUUGCAUUGUACCGCUUCCUUGUUGUGACUAUAAGCAAGACGAAUAUGGAUUUACAACUUAUAGGAGUAAGAAAUAAAAGUUAGUCUAGCCAGUACUUUUUUUUUCUUUUCAAUGAAGCAUUCUUAAUAAGUCUAAAAAAAGAUAAAAAAAAGCAUUACCUAAGGAGUACAAGCUUGAGAAGUUAUAAUAUCAUCAAAACCUUUGCUUGGAUUCUGUAAAUGAUUAGAAUUCUCUUAAGUCUUAGAAUGGAUUUCAAAUAACUAGUUACAUGUAUACAGUGGCGGAUUUAGAAAAAUAAUUUACCGAGGGCUAAAUUAGAUAAUAAUAAA